AAUAGCUAACAGCUAAUGCCAAACGGCAGAGCUUCAUUUUCAAGUUUGAAUUGAAGGUAAAGAAACUGAUAAUCUGUCAACCUCUUAUGGCUACCGCUUGUUCACUAACCACCGCUACAGCAUUGUUAUCUCGCCUCCCCUUUCUUGAAUUCACACCUCGUACCUCAUCCUCUUCACAUCGAAAACCGAACCGUUUAUGUUUCCAUUCCAGAACUAAAGGUUUUGUUUAUUAUUUAUGACUCUCAGCUAGAAGAACACCCCAAGCAACAAAAUCUUGUAAGACCGUCACCGUUUCAUGCUUUAAACAACAAUCCCAUAUCCUUAAUCUUUAAUUCUCCUGAAACCCAUAAUUGGGGCACAGAAAGUGAUCCUGGGUUCAAAUAUCACAACGGAAAUUCAGAACCUCGUUGCUUUGGUAUGUAAGAUCUUAUGAUUCAGGUGGAAUUUGUCAAUAUAUGUAAUACAUGUAAUUUCCAACUUCAAUACUGUUUUCAUCCAUCACAUAGUGUUGACUGAUGAUUUUGAUUUUCUGCUUUCUGGGACUGUGUACUACUUGAAUGCAAUUUGGCUGGUAAAACUUUCUGAGAAUGCAUUUAUUUUUACCACCAUCCUCCUAUCAGCUUGAUUAUUUAAAGGAAAAGUACAUUUUAAUUGAUGAAUGCAUAGUAAGGCAUAUUUUUAUUGUGAAAUUCAAAGCGCUGUGACUUUGUAUACACCUUUAUUGUACGAGAACAGUGAGACAAAGAUAUAUGGAGUUUACUUGAGAAAGCUAUCAGUGCAGUUUGGGUUUCUCUCGGGACUGGUUUUUUAUGUUGUUAUUGGUGGUUUUUUAAUAGGAAUGGAGCACAAGAUGUGAACAAGAUAUUUAUCGGUGGCUUAUAAGGCCUCUUAGGAUCACAAAAUCAAUGUCAUGUUAGCAAAAUGCUUUUAAGUUGGAUGAAUAUGGUUGGCAACAAUGCUAUAAUAUAUGCUUUGAAAUUCAUAUUCAUAGUGUCUCUCUGAUAAUUGAUUCCAUCAAAUUUGAGUCAUCGAUAACCCAAAGUUUAAAAGCUUUUCACUUUUCCUUGAAGAAAUGUUAAAACAUAAACUGAUAAACUUAAAUGAAGAGUAGGUGAAUGCAAUCCUGCACCCUAAAGGAUCAUAAUGAAGCCCUGGAACAGAAAGGAUUACUUUCCUGUCAAUACAGGUUGUGACAAGAGCUUUUGAUUGCUUCAAGUAGGCAUGGCUCAAAUUAAGCUGUUAUGUUUUUACAGUUUAGUUUCUAUAUGAUAUAAGAAAGGGUGCAAAUCCUCAGAACACACUGCUCUUUGUGUCAAUAUUUAUUUGACUCUCCUAAUUAGAUAUCAUGCAAGAUCUGUUUUCUUUAGAUGUAUGUUGCUGUAUUUGUAGAGGAUGAUUAUCCCAAGCAAGAAGUAAUUUUUAUAUCAGGUGCAAAUCCUCAAAACACACUGCUCUUUGUGUAAAUAUUUCUUUGACUCUCAUAAUUAGAUAUCAUACAAGAUUAGUUUUUUGUUUUCUUUAUGUGUAUUUUACCGUAUUUGUAAAGGAUGAUUAUCCCAAGCAAGAAGUAACAUUUACAGUUUCUGUUUGCAUUUCAGGAAAUAUUGGUGUUACUGUUGAUGACACAUACAAGGCUUGCGAGAGAUUUGAACGCCUAGGUGUGGAGUUUGUGAAAAAACCUAACGAUGAUCUGUGAGUCUGGUUGCUGGAAAAAUGAAAGGGAUAGCAUUCAUCAAGGAUCCUGAUGGCUAUUGGACUGAAAUCUUCGAUCUCAAGACUAUUGGAAAAGUAACUGGAACCGCUGCUUGAAAUCAUAGGGAGCCCCCAUGAGAGUAUGAUGAUUGUGCUGUCACAUUUCUGGUCUCCAACAAUUUAUACUCCCUAUGGUAUCAAGUCUUGUAUCUAGGUAAUGUGUAAAGCAAUACACUCUGAUCUGCCGCCUCCUUAAUGCACUCUCUUGGCUCAAGGCUCCCAAGCGGUGAGAUCCCAGCUAGAUUUAACUGGAAUCUCUGCUGUGUGAUCCAGCUCUUUUUUUCCCUUUUCUUCUCUCUUAUGAGUUUUGGGUGUAAGGGUGGCCUGGCAGCACUUCAUUUUGUUAUCCAUGUUUUCGGCGGUGAUCAUUUUGUGCAGGAAAGUGGGCAUUUUGCAGUCUUCAAGAUUUCUUUCUUCAAAAGAUGCUGCAGAGUAAGACUUAAGUUUUGUUUUCAAUGCACGCAUCUCUUGUGAUGGAGAUGACCUAUAUUUUCGUUCAACAUUUUUUUCAUCGCCUACUCAUUUUGUAGUUGAAUUUAGGGUUUGGCACCCCGAAAUGUACUAGGAAUUGAAAAUAAAUGGCUAGGUUUUUGUGGCUUUUUUUGACUUCUUUAAUAUUUCUUAGGCGAAAGAGCGUAUGUGUGAAUCGGGGUUUGGAGGAAAUAUCAUUUAUUACAGGUGCGAGGUAGAAGUAGAUGCAUGUAAAGAAAAUCUUUUUGGGAUGAAAGAAUGAGGGAUUGUUAUAUUAUCAAGCUUAGCAUUCCGUGUAAGCAA